AGCUGAGGAAGCAAUGUUACAGGGCUUGCUGGAGGACACAGGUUGAGCUGAACAUCUUUCUGCGCUGCUCAGGAAGACUUUGUUCAACGUUCUUUCUUCAUGACACUGUCUGUAUGCUACCCAGUGCAAGGGUCCACCCGAUGAAAACAAGAGAGGGAAUGGUCACUACCAUGUCCCAGCAGCCAUUGUCUUCACGCUGGCCACCAUGUACCGUGUGUCUCUCUGGUGGGUUCCCAGUUUGUGCUCUUCAGCCUCAGCUGCACAAUGGAGCCACCUGGGAGCUCUUAAAAACACUAGUGCCUAGGCUGCAUCCCAGACCAAUUAAAUCAAAGUCUUGGAGGCUGGGAAUUAGUUAUGAGGAUUUUUUAAAAAGCUAAUCUAGAGGUUCCUCUGUGAAAAUAAAGACGUGUUUACCAAUA